AGAGUUUGAUCAUAGCUCAGGAUGAACGUUGGCUGUGUGCCUAAGGUAUGCAAGUCGAACGAUCCAUUUUGAGAUUUCUGAAACUUCGGUUGAUGAUUUCUCGUUUUUGGAUAGUGGCAAACGGGUGAGUAACGCGUGGAUAAUCUGCCUUGAAGUCGGGAACAGCUCAUCGAAAGGUGGGGUAAUACUCGAUAGUCUUAUCUUUUCUGAUGAUUAGAUAGGUAAAGUUCAGGCGCUUCAAGAGGAGUCCGCGUUCUAUCAGCUUGUUGGUGAGGUAAAGGCUCACCAAGGCAAAGACGGAUAGCUGGCGUGAGAGCGUGGCCAGCCACCAUGGAACUGAGACACGGUCCAGACUCCUACGGGAGGCAGCAAUUAGGAAUCUUGCGCAAUGGGGGCAACCCUGACGCAGCGACACAGCGUGGAGGAGGAAGGUCUUCGGAUUGUAAACUCCUUUUAUAUGGGAAGAAUAGAUGACUGUACCAUAUGAAUAAGCACCUGCUAACUACGUGCCAGAAGCAUCGGUGAUGCGUAGGGUGCGAACGUUAUCCGGAUUUAUUGGGCGUAAAGAGAAGCGUAGGCGUUUUAGUAAGUCUUUAGUUAAAGCCCGUGGCUCAACCACGGAAUAGCUAAGGAUACUGCUAAAAUUGAGACAGGAAGGGGCGAACGGAAUUCCGAGUGGAGUGGUGAAAUACGUUGAUAUUCGGAGGAACAUCAGUGGCGAAGGCGGUUCGCUGGUCCUUGUCUGACGCUAAGGCUCGAAAGCGUGGGUAGCAAAACGGAUUAGAUACCCGUGUAGUCCACGCCGUAAACAAUGGAUGCUAGGUGUUCGGUAUGACCGUUUUCUCCUUCGGGAGAAAGUGGAAGUAUUGAGUGCCGCAGCUAACGCGUUAAGCAUCCCGCCUGGGAAGUACGGCCGCAAGGCUA
rnacentral:rRNA from 1 species